GACGGGUAUCCGGCCUGAGAGGGUGAUCGGACACACUGGAACUGAGACACGGUCCAGACUCCUACGGGAGGCAGCAGUAGGGAAUAUUGCUCAAUGGGGGAAACCCUGAAGCAGCAACGCCGCGUGGAGGAUGAAGGUUUUAGGAUUGUAAACUCCUUUUGUGAGAGAAGAUUAUGACGGUAUCUCACGAAUAAGCACCGGCUAACUCCGUGCCAGCAGCCGCGGUAAUACGGAGGGUGCAAGCGUUACUCGGAAUCACUGGGCGUAAGGAGUGCGCAGGCGGGGUGGUAAGUCAGAUGUGAAAUCCUGUAGCUUAACUACAGAACUGCAUUUGAAACUAUCACUCUA
rnacentral:rRNA from 1 species